rnacentral:rRNA from 1 species
AUUGAACGCUGGCGGCAGGCCUAACACAUGCAAGUCGAGCGAGCGGCGGACGGGUGAGUAAUGUCUGGGAAACUGCCUGAUGGAGGGGGAUAACUACUGGAAACGGUAGCUAAUACCGCAUACCAUCAGAUGUGCCCAGAUGGGAUUGGCUAGUAGGUGGGGUAACGGCUCACCUAGGCGACGAUCCCUAGCUGGUCUGAGAGGAUGACCAGCCACACUGGAACUGAGACACGCUCCAGACUCCUACGGGAGGCAUCAGUGGGGAAUAUUGCACAAUGGGCGCAAACCGGAUGCAACCAUGCCGCGGGUGUGAAGAAGGCCUUCGGGUUGUAAAGCACUUUAAGCGGGGAGGCGUUACCCGCAGAAGAAGCACCGGCUAACUCCGUGCCAGCAGCCGCAGUAAUUC